AUUUCAUUGAAAUACUGCACUGGGAGCCUGAGAGCAGUACGUGUUCAGUGGAAUCAGGAGCAGAUGCCCAGCUAACUUGGGGCCCAGGUUGACCUUGAUCACAUCACUGUUGACAUAUGCAAUCACAUAAGCCUCUGACGGCCAUCUCACCUGCCUCCCAAGAACAACCUUCAGAUGCUUACAUGGAGAGCAAUGUCCACCUUCAGUAACAACACGGAUCCCAUCUCCCUCACCUUUCUGUCAGUAUAAUGUCAACAACUUGGAAGCAGUAAGGCCAAGGCACACAAGAGUUUGCAAAAAGUAAAUCUGGGACAACCACAAGGCUGGUCACAUUGUAAGCUGCAUGCAUAAAAAUCUCUGAGCACCAGAGGGCCAAUUUCAAGCUCAAAUCAUCAGAACUAGGAACCAAAACUGAACUCAGCUCCAUGCAGAAUGCAUCAAGGAUAAAUUCAGUGUCUUUGGACCAAAUGAUCACAUGGAGGGAUGGACACAGUCACAGAGAGAAUUUAGAAGAUCCUUUGAAACUACUUCUUGGGAUGAUUUUCUCAAAGCUACUCUGAUAUUUUUUUAAAGAGGAGAUGCCCUGAACAACUCCUUUGAUCCAGAGUGAAACAUUAUACUUUGGUUUCUGGUAAGAAAAGCAUGAAUGAUGAAUGCUGGAUUUUGGCUUUAGGGGUUGGUGUCACCUCCCCUUCCAACCUCUCCCCACACUACAUUUUCCAGCUCAAGCUUUUCAGUAAUUUGAGGUUGGAUGUGUAAAUGUUCUCCUGGGUGACCAAACGUCACAUCAAACUGAAUAUUCACUAGAAAAAUGCACACAGGGAAAAGCACUGGAAAUUGGGUGCCUUUGAAAAAUCUCACCCGUUCUCAGCAUCCUUCCCCUCCACUCUCCUGGGUUUUAAAUAUUAAAACAAGGAGCUGUUGGCUUUGAUACUGAAGUAGUCUAAUUCUCUGCCCAAGGUAUUUCCCUUCCUGGCUCUCUUCCCUUUCAACUCAGAGUGAUAUAUUUUUUUUUAAUAUAUAUUUUUUAAUUCUGCAGUAUUUGCCUAUUUCCAACACCUCCCCCACGUGGCACAGUGUCAAAUCAGCAGCAAGCAGGCCAGCAGAAAAGCAUAUUCCCAUUACUCUCAGCGCUACAGUGAAAGAUUUUAAGACAUAGCCAGUAAAUUGAGUCUUCUGCAGUGUAGCUGCUAAGCAGAGGUCCUUCUUGCAAGAAUAUCACCAUGUGCUGUGCAUAACAAGGAGCCAGCAGGCUACUGCUGUUAGUGCAGAUGGUUGGAGGGUCAGCCUCAUGGUGCCCAGGCUUCUGGAUGGUUUUCCUAGAAAGCAAAGCUACAAGUCUGGGGAGAAAAUGCAAGACCACAACCAAGGUCUGAGAGCCCCAUAAUGCACUGUUGAGUGGGUUUGCCUCUAUCAGGCUCAGUAACUAAUCAUGAACAGACACUAAUUGUCAUGAAUCCUCAUCCAAGUGUGUUCCUGUGAGAGUAAGGUCCACAGGCAAGUGUGAAAUUUCCCCUUAGAAUCUGUUUUUCCUUCACUAAUUCCCUCCUGCUAUUAUUUUUGUCUCAUAUCAAAGUCUAAAAGGACUUGUCUAUUUGAGAAAAGAGAUAGAGGUGCGCACGAAGCAUAUGAUCCAAGAACCAUUUUCCAUUCUAUUAGCCCACUAAGACAUAAACAAAUUACUAAGAAAACACUGUAGUUUCCUUUUUCUCCAAAGCAAACUAAAUCCUCACCCUGCAUGGGCAAUUACACAGUCAACAUGUGAUUAGAUUAUCACAAGGUGGCCAUGGCCAGACCUAGCAACUGGAUAAAAUGGUAUUUUGGGAUAUCCACAGAUGAUAUUUUGGGAUACAAUUGCUCUUUAAAGAUUUAAACUUUAGCUGGUUUCAAGAAGAUAAGCACAUGUAGGUCUGUGCUUUGCUCCAAGCCCUGGGAUUUUAUCUUUUCCUGUCUUUACUGACCCAAAAAUGAAGGUCUUUCUGUACAGCUCUUACCACAUCAGCACAACGCUUAUACUCAGUGAAGAACAAUAUACAUCUUUCUGCUUCAAAACGUUCAAAUGCCACAAUGAUUUUGGGAAAGAAACUGAACAUGGGAAUACGGCCAUGGAAGCCAAGCUCCAGAAAGAAGUAUGAGCACCAGGCUUUUGCUGUGGAUAUCUGGUGCCCUACAACACUUUCACUACUGCUAUGAAGUUCUAUUUAUUUCAUCACAGACCAUUGCUCUCUGCCUAUUCUAGCUGUUGUUAAUUAACAAUGUCUGUCUCAGUUGCCACUAUCAUAUUAAUCUGGUUUCAUGUAGUUUAUAGCAGACCAAAAUGUUUCCAUCUUUAUUACUUUUCUCCUGCUCCUUCUGCAAGAAACAAAGAUAAAUACUGAUC